AUAAAUAAAUAAAUAAAUAAAAUACAAGUGCUCGGUGGAAGUAAGCUAACUUUUCCAAAGUUGUGGUAAUAACCUACGUAUAUCAAAUAUGCCAUCAAAACACAAGUCGGGUAGUUCAAAGCCAAAAGAACAGAAAAGACAGCUAGAAAUUUCCCCAAAAGAAGCAACAGAAGAUGGUGCGCGGCAGCGGAACUGCCAACCUCCUCUUCGCACGAAAAAUAAACAGUUGAGCCAGAGAAAAGACGUGAAUCGGAGACGUCGGAUUGGAAAUGUACAACAACAGCAAAUACAAGGGAGGAGGCUGGGAAUGUUGGGAGUGAGCGUGAGCCGGAGUCUGCAGAGACCAGGGAGCCGCCGAAAGGGAUGGAGCCGCCGACACCACAGCCGAGGCUGAAGAGACUCAGCCACGUCCAUGGCGCCCUGUGCCAGCUUUGUGAGGGCAGGAGUGACCAGACGGAGCCAUUUGAUCUACCUUGAGCUCUCCUGCUGGUUGAUUGUACAGGGAUACGAUGUAUAAUUUUAUUCAAUGCAGGCCACUCACGGUGUAUAAUGUUAUUCAAAGCAGGCCACUCACGAUGUAUAAUGUUAUUCAAUGCAGGCCACUCACGAUGAAUAAUGUUAUCCAAUGCAGGACACUCACAGUGUAUAAUGUUACCCUAUCCAGGACACUCACAGCGUAAUAAUAAUAAUAUAUUCAACAACAGACCACUCGCACAUUAAUACUGUAAAGUGCAUGGGGUCAGGGUUGUAGGUGACACAGGACAGAAGCCUGAUACGUUCCUAGCAAAAGGGCAGUGGUUAUCGUGUUUCAAUGCGGAAGUUGCAGGGUUCGAACCCAGCCUCACCUCACCUACGGGAACCCGUGGUCGACACAAUAUAAAUUGCAAGGCACUCGCACAGUAAUAAUAUGUGUAUACAGGACACUCACAUAGUGUAGAAAUUACUAGGAAAUUUAAAUGGAAAUUAAAUAUUAAUGACCCAGCAAAAUACCACCUUUGCUAUCUCAAAUAUCUUCUUAUGAACCGAUUUAAAUCUUGAAUUGAAAUUGACUAAUUAAAAUAGGCUACAAUAAAACAGUUCACAAUGUUCGACACACUGAUAACAGCCGGUUUCUACACAGUGUCCUAGGACACCACAGGCCACUCAGACACUGGCUUUAGUGUCCCAGCACUCGGGACUCAAAUUGUUUCAACCCCUACUGAAAAAGCUACUACAAGUCCUGCUGAACAGAACGUAAAAUAAAUAGCUUUCAGAAACCAAACGACAAAAAGUAUUCCUGUCGGCAAAUUAAAUC